rnacentral:rRNA from 1 species
GAUGAACGCUGGCGGCGUGCCUAAUACAUGCAAGUCGAGCGAACGGACGAGAAGCUUGCUUCUCUGAUGUUAGCGGCGGACGGGUGAGUAACACGUGGAUAACCUACCUAUAAGACUGGGAUAACUUCGGGAAACCGUAGCUAAUACCGGAUAAUAUUUUGAACCGCAUGGUUCAAAAGUGAAAGACGUUCUUUCUGUCACUUAUAGAUGGAUCCGCGCUGCAUUAGCUAGUUGGUAAGGUAACGGCUUACCAAGGCAACGAUGCAUAGCCGACCUGAGAGGGAGAUCGGCGAGACUGGAAGUGAGACACGGUACAGACACCUACGGGAGGAAGCAGAAGGGAAUCUUCCGCAAUGGGCGAAAGCAUGACGGAGCAACGCCGCGUGAGGGAUGAAGGACUUCGGAUCGUAAAACUCUGUUAUUAGGGAAGAACAUAUGUGUAAGUAACUGUGCACAUAAUGACGGUACCUAAUCAGAAAGCCACGGCUAACUACGUG